AGAGUUUGAUCCUGGCUCAGGAUGAACGCUAGCGACAGGCUUAACACAUGCAAGUCGAGGGGCAGCAUGAUUUGUAGCAAUACAGAUUGAUGGCGACCGGCGCACGGGUGAGUAACGCGUAUGCAACUUACCUAUCAGAGGGGGAUAACCCGGCGAAAGUCGGACUAAUACCGCAUGAAGCAGGGGCCCCGCAUGGGGAUAUUUGCUAAAGAUUCAUCGCUGAUAGAUAGGCAUGCGUUCCAUUAGGCAGUUGGCGGGGUAACGGCCCACCAAACCGACGAUGGAUAGGGGUUCUGAGAGGAAGGUCCCCCACAUUGGUACUGAGACACGGACCAAACUCCUACGGGAGGCAGCAGUGAGGAAUAUUGGUCAAUGGGCGCGAGCCUGAACCAGCCAAGUAGCGUGGAGGACGACGGCCCUACGGGUUGUAAACUCCUUUUAUAAGGGGAUAAAGUUGGCCAUGUAUGGCCAUUUGCAGGUACCUUAUGAAUAAGCAUCGGCUAAUUCCGUGCCAGCAGCCGCGGUAAUACGGAAGAUGCGAGCGUUAUCCGGAUUUAUUGGGUUUAAAGGGUGCGUAGGCGGAAGGAUAAGUCAGCGGUGAAAUGCUUCAGCUCAACUGGAGAAUUGCCGAUGAAACUGUUUUUCUAGAGUAUAAAAGAGGUAUGCGGAAUGCGUGGUGUAGCGGUGAAAUGCAUAGAUAUCACGCAGAACCCCGAUUGCGAAGGCAGCCUGCCAAGCCAUGACUGACGCUGAUGCACGAAAGCGUGGGGAUCAAACAGGAUUAGAUACCCUGGUAGUCCACGCAGUAAACGAUGAUCACUAGCUGUUUGCGAUACACUGUAAGCGGCACAGCGAAAGCGUUAAGUAAUCCACCUGGGGAGUACGCCGGCAACGGUGAAACUCAAAGGAAUUGACGGGGGCCCG
rnacentral:rRNA from 1 species